UUGAACGCUGGCGGCAGGCCUAACACAUGCAAGUCGAGCGGAUGAAGGGAGCUUGCUCCUGGAUUCAGCGGCGGACGGCUGAGUAAUGCCUAGGAAUCUGCCUGGUAGUGGGGGAUAACGUCCGGAAACGGGCGCUAAUACCGCAUACGUCCUGAGGGAGAAAGUGGGGGAUCUUCGGACCUCACGCUAUCAGAUGAGCCUAGGUCGGAUUAGCUAGUUGGUGGGGUAAAGGCCUACCAAGGCGACGAUCCGUAACUGGUCUGAGAGGAUGAUCAGUCACACUGGAACUGAGACACGGUCCAGACUCCUACGGGAGGCAGCAGUGGGGAAUAUUGGACAAAGGGCGAAAGCCUGAUCCAGCCAUGCCGCGUGUGUGAAGAAGGUCUUCGGAUUGUAAAGCACUUUAAGUUGGGAGGAAGGGCAGUAAGUUAAUACCUUGCUGUUUUGACGUUACCAACAGAAUAAGCACCGGCUAACUUCGUG
rnacentral:rRNA from 1 species